UAGCUCUAAGGAGUUCCCUAAUAUCGUC
rnacentral:piRNA from 1 species